rnacentral:rRNA from 1 species
AUUGAACGCUGGCGGCAGGCUUAACACAUGCAAGUCGAACGAGUGGCGGACGGGUGAGUAAUGUCUGGGAAACUGCCCGAUGGAGGGGGAUAACUACUGGAAACGGUAGCUAAUACCGCAUACCAUCGGAUGUGCCCAGAUGGGAUUAGCGAGUAGGUGGGGUAAAGGCUCACCUAGGCGACGAUCCCUAGCUGGUCUGAGAGGAUGACCAGCCACACGGGAACUGAGACACGGUCCAGACUCCUACGGGGGGCAGCAGUGGGGAAUAUUGCACAAUGGGCGCAAUCCUGAUGCAGCCAUGCCGCUUGUGUGAAGAAGGCCUUCGGGUUGUAAAGCACUUUCAGCGGGGAGGCGUUACCCGCAGAAGAAGCACCGGCUAACUCCGUGCCAGCAGCCGCGGUAAUUC